rnacentral:pre_miRNA from 1 species
AAACAGACAAACCCUGGUUUUCGUGUCCAACGUUUGACCGUCCGUCUUAUUUGAAAGAAUUAUGAAAAAAAUUAAAAAGAUAAGUCACGCAUAAAAUAUUAAUCAUGUUUUAUCAUCUAACAACAAUAAAAAUACUAACUAAAUAUAAAACGGACAGUCAAACAUUGGUACGAGAACCCAUGGUUUGCCUUUUU